CGGGAAGAUACGCCUCGAGAGCCGGAUCGGCUCCGGAUUCAAUGCGCCCGCAUUUAUUGGAGCCACCCGCAUCGGAACGACCGGGGGGCCGCAGUUUGGCUAUAAAUAUAGGUGCAGGUGCGAUGAAGCCUGCCAAGCCGGAGCUGUUCAGGUUGCCAUGGAUCGUGGGCCUCCUCUCCGGCGCAUGGUUGAGAGACCCCUACCGAAGGAACGGGAGGCGCGCCCUUCGCGACUUCCGCCAAC
rnacentral:lncRNA from 1 species